GACGAACGCUGGCGGCGUGCCUAAUACAUGCAAGUAGAACGCUGAAGGAGGAGCUUGCUUCUCUGGAUGAGUUGCGAACGGGUGAGUAACGCGUAGGUAACCUGCCUGGUAGCGGGGGAUAACUAUUGGAAACGAUAGCUAAUACCGCAUAAUAGUAGAUGUCGCAUGACAUUUGCUUAAAAGGUGCAAUUGCAUCACUACCAGAUGGACCUGCGUUGUAUUAGCUAGUUGGUGAGGUAACGGCUCACCAAGGCAACGAUACAUAGCCGACCUGAGAGGGUGAUCGGCCACACUGGGACUGAGACACGGCCCAGACUCCUACGGGAGGCAGCAGUAGGGAAUCUUCGGCAAUGGACGGAAGUUUGACCGAGCAACGCCGCGUGAGUGAAGAAGGUUUUCGGAUCGUAAAGCUCUGUUGUAAGAGAAGAACGAGUGUGAGAGUGGAAAGUUCACACUGUGACGGUAUCUUACCAGAAAGGGACGGCUAACUACGUG
rnacentral:rRNA from 1 species